UACGUAGGGUGCGAGCGUUAAUCGGAAUUACUGGGCGUAAAGCGUGCGCAGGCGGUUCGCUAAGACAGAUGUGAAAUCCCCGGGCUUAACCUGGGAACUGCAUUUGUGACUGGCGGGCUAGAGUAUGGCAGAGGGGGGGUAGAAUUCCACGUGUAGCAGUGAAAUGCGUAGAGAUGUGGAGGAAUACCGAUGGCGAAGGCAGCCCCCUGGGCCCAAUACUGACGCUCAUGCACGAAAGCGUGGGGAGCAAACAGGAU
rnacentral:rRNA from 1 species